GGCUCAGAACGAACGCUGGCGGCGCGUUUAAGCAUGCAAGUCGAGCGGCAAGGGCCUUCGGGCCCCUAGAGCGGCGGACGGGUGAGUAACACGUGGACAAUCUGCCCCCCGGCCCGGGAUAGCCCAGGGAAACCUGGAUUAAUACCGGAUGAGACGGGACCCGCGAUGGCGGGACCCGGGAAAGGCGCUGCGGCGCCGCCGGGGGACGAGUCUGCGUCCCAUUAGCUAGACGGCGGGGUAACGGCCCACCGUGGCGACGAUGGGUAGCCGGCCUGAGAGGGUGGACGGCCACAUUGGAACUGAGACACGGUCCAGACUCCUACGGGAGGCAGCAGCUAAGAAUCUUCCGCAAUGGGCGAAAGCCUGACGGAAGCGACGCCGCGUGAACGAAGAAGGCCGUGAGGUUGUAAAGUUCUUUUCGGGAGGGGGAACAACCGUGGCAGGGAAUGGCCGCGGGAUGACGUGAAUCCCGGAAUAAGCCCCGGCUAACUACGUGCCAGCCGCCGC
rnacentral:rRNA from 1 species